rnacentral:rRNA from 1 species
GGGUAACGGGGUGUUAGGGCACGACACCGGAGAGGGAGCCUGAGAAACGGCUACCACAUCCAAGGAAGGCAGCAGGCGCGCAAAUUACCCAAUCCCGACAUGGGGAGGUAGUGACAAUAAAUAACAAUACAGGGUUCUUUUGGAUCUUGUAAUUGGAAUGAGUACAAUUUAAAUCUCUUAACGAGGAACAAUUGGAGGGCAAGUCUGGUGCCAGCAGCCGCGGUAAUUCCAGCUCCAAUAGCGUAUAUUAAAGUUGUUGCAGUUAAAAAGCUCGUAGUUGAAUUUCGGGAUCAAGGGAUCGGUCAUGCCUUGGUAUGUACUGGUCUUAUUGGUUCUCACCUUCUAAAGAACCAUAAUGUCAUUUAUUUGAUGUUAUGGGGAAUUAGGACUGUUACCUUGAAAAAAUUAGAGUGUUUAAAGCAAGCUUACGCUUGAAUACAUUAGCAUGGAAUAAUGAAAUAGGACAUCAGAUUCUAUUUUGUUGGUUUCUAGGAUCGAUGUAAUGAUUAAUAGGGAUAGUUGGGGGCAUUAGUAUUCAAUUGUCAGAGGUGAAAUUCUUGGAUUUAUUGAAGACUAACUACUGCGAAAGCAUUUGCCAAGGAUGUUUUCAUUAAUCAAGAACGAAAGUUAGGGGAUCGAAGACGAUCAGAUACC